rnacentral:rRNA from 1 species
AAGCUCGUAGUUGAAUUUCGGGAUUUGUCGGUUGGUCGGGCUUCACUGUCCGCACUGGCCUGAUAGAUUCCUACCUUCUGAAUAACCAGCAUGCUAUUAAUUUAGUGCGUUGGGGAAGCAGAGCUAUUACCUUGAAAAAACUUAGAGUGCUUAAAGCAGGCUUAUGCUUGAAUAGAUUAGCAUGGAAUAAUAAAAUAGGACGGCUUGGUUCUAUUUUGUUGGUUUCUAGGAUCACCGUAAUGAUUAAUAGGGAUAGUUGGG